rnacentral:rRNA from 1 species
CCCUUAGAUGUCCUGGGCCGCACGCGCGUUACACUGAUGCAUUCAACGAGCUUAUAACCUUGGCCGAGAGGCCUGGGCAAUCUUGUUAACGUGCAUCGUGAUAGGGAUAGAUUAUUGAAAUUAUUAAUCUUGAACGAGGAAUUCCUAGUAAACGCAGAUCAUCAAUCUGCAUUGAUUACGUCCCUGCCCUUUGUACACACCGCCCGUCGCUACUACCGAUCGAGCGCCCUAGCGAGGUCGUCCGAUUGUCGCCGAGGCCGGCUUUCGCGAGCUGCGCAUCCGACGAAAAGGCGAUCGAACUCGAGCGCUUAGAGGAAGUAAAAGUCGUAACA